rnacentral:rRNA from 1 species
GACGAACGCUGGCGGCGUGCCUAAUACAUGCAAGUCGAGCGAAUCAAUAGGAGCUUGCUCCUGUUGGUUAGCGGCGGACGGGUGAGUAACACGUGGGCAACCUGCCUGUAAGACUGGGAUAACACAGGGAAACCGGUGCUAAUACCGGAUAAUCCUUUUCCUCUCAUGAGGAAAAGCUGAAAGUCGGUUUCGGCUGACACUUACAGAUGGGCCCGCGGCGCAUUAGCUGGUUGGUGAGGUAACGGCUCACCAAGGCCGCGAUGCGUAGCCGACCUGAGAGGGUGAGCGGCCACACUGGGACUGAGACACGGCCCAGACUCCUACGGGAGGCAGCAGUAGGGAAUCUUCCACAAUGGACGAAAGUCUGAUGGAGCAACGCCGCGUGAGCGAUGAAGGCCUUCGGGUCGUAAAGCUCUGUUGUUAGGGAAGAACAAGUAUCGGAGUAACUGCCGGUACCUUGACGGUACCUAACCAGAAAGCCACGGCUAACUACGUGCCAGCAGCCGCCGUAACAC